rnacentral:rRNA from 1 species
AUAAAGAAGGUUUGGCUAACUCUGUGCCAGCAGCAGCGGUAAUACAGAAGACCUCGAGCGUUAUCCGGAUUUACUGGGCGUAAAGCGUACUAGUAGGGGCGUUUUGGUUAACGUUUCCAAGUAAGAUCUUAAGGCUCAACUUUAAGUUCGCUUGGAAAACUAAUAAACUGGAGUCCAGCAGAGGUGCAUGGAACUUGCGGUGUAGGAGUGAAAUCCGUUGAUAUCGCAAGGAACACCAAAGGCGAAGGCAUUGCACUGGGCUGGUACUGACCCUGAGAGACGAAAGCGUGGGGAGCAAAACGGAUUAGAUACCCGUGUAGUCCACGCCGUAAACGAUGGAUACUAGAUGUUCGGGGAUUCGGCCCCCUGGGUGUCACAGCUAACGCGUUAAGUAUCCCGCCUGGGAAGUACGGCCGCAAGGCUAAAACUCAAAGGAAUAGACGGGGAUCCGCACAAGCGGUGGAGCGUCUGGUUUAAUUUGAUAGUAAGCAAUGGACCUCACCAAGGUUUGACAUCCUAUGACAACCCUGGAAACAGGGCUUCAUUCGGGCAUAGUGACAGGUGCUGCAUGGUCGUCGUCAGUUCGUGCCGUGAGGUGUUCCGUUAAGUCGGGAAACGAACGAAACCCUCGUCGCAUGUUACAAAUUUCAUGCGAGACUGCCCGGGUCAACCGGGAGGAAGGCGGGGAUGACGUCAGAUCAGCAUGGCCAUUAUACAUUGGGCUACACAGGCGCUACAAUGGCCGGUACAAAGGGUUGCAAAACCGCGAGGUGAAGCUAAUCCCAUAAAGCCGGUCCAAGUUCGGAUUGGAGGCUGCAACUCGCCUCCAUGAAGUUGGAUCGCUAGUAAUCGUGGAUCAGCCAUACCACGGUGAUACGUUCCCGGAUCUUGUACUCACCGCCCGUCACACCAAGAGAGUUGGUA